AGGUUUAGUCGGGAAGGUGCAGCUUCAUUUGGUCUUCAUCAAGCGUAACCAGGAGUUGCAUUUAGAGUCUGUCCUAAUUUGAUUAACCUCUUCCUGGAUUCCUGGAUCGUCCUCCCGUGCCACUGAUCUCACCUGGCGCUUCUUGGAUUGUCUCAUUGUAUCAUCGCUCUGAAUCCCUACUCGUUUGUCCACUCUCCACUGCCUUCCCUGCCGCUUCUUUUCCUGGAAACACCAACAAGUAACCAAUAUUGACAGAACUACUCACCUGCUUUCAACCAAUCUCAGCUUUAGUGGAAAUACAUACCAUCGUCAUGAUCAGCAGCAAGCCCAGCUCUUACUCUCCCUCAGCCUGCACAUCUUCCAUUAUUCUACACACCCAUAUUAAUCAUUUACCUUUUCCCCCAAUGUGGACCCAGCUGGUUUCCCUUUCCUGCCACCGUUUCCACAGCUAGAUCCUGUUAUGCUCAUAAUAAACUCUUUUCACUUACCUCAUCCGUGUCCGUAUUUGUCGUCUGCACCAGAGUCAAACUGCCCAAACAUGACAGUUCUGUCUCUGUUAUCUGUAUAGUCUACUGGAUGAAUAACAGUGUGCAUGUUGCCUUUGAUGCAUAGCUGUAUGCAGUAUGUUAAUUCACAAAGGUCAACUUCAAGUUCACUUAA